GGCUAUUGUAAAUGGGGUAGUUUCCCUUUCAGAGGAUUUAUCACUGAUAUAUAGAAAUGCCUUUGAUUUAUGGGUAUUGAUUUUAUAUCCUGCUACUUUGCUGAAUUCAUUUACUAGUUCUCAAAGUUUUGAGGUGGAAUUUUUUGGAGGGAUAACAGGAACAUAUCUCAACCUCAUAAAGGCUAUCUAUGCCAAGCCCCAGGCCAACAUUGUUCUAAAUGGAGAAAAAUUGAAAGCAUUCCUUCUGAAAAUGGAACAAGACAGGGAUGCCGUCUUUCACCAAUUUUACUUAACAUAGUUCUUGAAACACUGACCAGAGCAAUUAGACAGCCUUUGGUUCUUGAUGAACACAAGGCAAAAUAAUUGUUUGUUUCAUUCAUCUUUUGAAGUCAGCCUCUUUCAAAAAUAGAAGAUGGGCUUGAAAUAGCAUGACUACAGGGCACUUAAAGAAGUAACUUUCCAGUUAAGAACACUGUAGAGAUUCAAGAACAACCUAAAGUCUAGCUUUUAACUCUCUUCAACUCAAACCAAAAAAUUCUGGCAGGGUUUCUCUUGUAUCAUGUGAUUUCCUAGAAUUCUUACCAAGUGAAAUCUUUCCUAAUUAGUUUGUUAUUUUAAACUAAAUAAAAGAUAGUAUACUUUCUUUUAAUAUUAAAAAAACCCAUAGAUCCUUUUACUAAUUUAGGCUCAAGAAUAAAGAGUAUACUUUGCUUACCUUGAUUUCUAAAUUUGAGUCCUUCAGUUUCAUGAUCAUUUUUGAGGGGUAAAUUGUGAAUUAUGCAUUCAUUUUGCAGCAAUAUUAUGGACCUGACCUGUGAGAAUUCUGCGAUACAUAGAGGAAAUUUUCAAAGAUGUGAAAACUGAGGCUACAAACAAUGUGAGAUUCUAGUCCCCUGAGCUUACUGCCAACCCCUCCCAGAAGAGGAUGCUGUGCUGUGUGAAGGUUAAGCUGGAAGUCACAUUAUGUUUUCUGAGUCCCCUUUACUACUAAUUUUUGGGUCUUCAGCAGUUUCUUGGGUGUCUCAGAUAUCCUUCUGAUCUAGUGGUAUGUAGAAAUAUAAAGCUAGCACUACUACUUCAGUACAAUAUAGAAUAACUGUCCUGUAUCAUGCCUUUAAGAUGCUAGAUAUUCCAGAAUUUUGGCCAUUCAAGUGAAGUGAAAAUAGAUUUCUGGAUUAUAUUGAAAAAGAUUCCCUAAAGGACUGUAUAGAAAGUCACAUCAUUCCUAAAUGUAAGAUAUUGGAGGAAAACAAGCUAUAACACUAUAAAUCUUAAUUUCUAAGGCUCUCAUAUAGGCCGAGACAUGGUCAAGAGGAUAGGAAGAAUUGCAGUUUUUCAACUGAAUGAUGUUGCUAUAUAACUACAGAAUUGGAUCUUAAGCAUUCUAGGUCCUAAUUCAUACCUGGGUAUUUCUCAAUUUGCUCACGUGCAUAGGGAGAAAAAUACUUUUUUUUUAACAAAACUAUUGACUUUGUCAGAACUAUAUUGCCCUUCUUAAAUGUCACACUUGAUACUAAAUUAUGUAAUUACUAUGUAAUUACUGAGGAGUCCAGUGCACACAACCAAGUUAUCAUCCUCAGGAUCUUCAGAAUUCUAAAGGCACGUGUUGGAACACAUCCGGUCCUGUAGAUAAGCAUUUUUCUUUUACUAAUGAUCUGUACAUUUAUCUUAAAUAAAAGUUUAUUUUUGAGAUAA